rnacentral:snoRNA from 1 species
AUGCAUCUCUGACAGACCUAGAGCAGUUAAUGUCUGCUGCUAAGGUUUCCACUGCAGAUGGAAGAAAAAGAAGGUCCCGUGCUUUCUGUCUCCCUGGCUGUGGAAGCCAAGAUUGAGUGGGGGAAUAUAGGA